UACGUAGGGUGCAAGCGUUGUCCGGAAUCAUUGGGCGUAAAGAGCGCGUAGGCGGCCAGAUAAGUCCGGUGUGAAAGUCAAAGGCUCAACCUUUGAAUGCCGCUGGAAACUGUCUGGCUAGAGUCCGGGAGGGGCGAGUGGAAUUCCUGGUGUAGCGGUGAAAUGCGCAGAUAUCAGGAGGAACACCAAUGGCGAAGGCAGCUCGCUGGGACGUGACUGACGCUGAGACGCGAAAGCGUGGGGAGCGAACAGG
rnacentral:rRNA from 1 species